ACACAAAUAACAAAUGCAUUGAUGAUCAUACUGACAGUAAAUAUCCAGAGGUUUCCCAUGACUGAUGCAGAUGUUCUCCUGAAUGUUUCUGGAGGCAUCAACUAGUUUGUGCUUCAUAAACGCAGGAGAUUGAUAGUGAGUCUGCAGGUGAGUUUGACAGAAGGAGGCCAAACACUGCAGACAGGACUUUACAGCUCUGUUCUUCUCUGUAGUGCAAACAUCACAC